rnacentral:lncRNA from 1 species
AAUAGUUUUAUAUUUUAUAAUUUUAUAUAUUAUAUUUUUUAUAUUAUUUAAGUGGUUAUAAACUUAAUAAUUUUAGUGAAAAAGUGUAAGAUAUACAUGAGACCACUCGAUCACUGAAUAAAUAAUAUCAAAUAUCAAAAAAUUCGAUCCCUACUAAGUUAAAAUACCUUAAAUUAUUAAAUACAACGUAGAAAGAUCAAAAACUUAUAUAUUUGAAAGAAUUCUGAUUCAGUACUUCUUAUUUAUCUUAUUAAUUUUUUGAAUUAUUUAUGCAUAAGUGACGUGUUUAUAAAAUUUACGAGCUUUUAUGCGUGGAUAUUUGGAUGUUGUUAGUUUUAUUUAUUGGCUCUUUUAAAAAUAGAUUGUAUUUAUUGGAUUGAAUAUUUAAUUUAUAAUCUCAACCAGCAAAUAUUGAGUGAGGUGCAUGAGAUGUACGGAUACACCAGGUGUUGAUAAUAUUUCUACUUGUCUCCUUAGGCAGUGUUUGGUUGAGGGAUAAAGUGGGAAUAAACCACUUUAUCCCUCUAAUUCAUCCAAACACUAGAAGAGGGGAUGAGUUUAUUUAAUCCCUCUCUUAACGGGUUAUUCUAGAAUAACCCGUUAAGAGUGGGAAAUUGUUGUUCCACCAUUUUGGUGGAAUAACAAUUUCUUCACUUUAUUCCUCUACUAAUUUAAUAAUAAAAUAUUAUUAAUUAAUGUAUUAUAUAAUAUUUUAUUAAUUAAUUAACUAAAUUAAUAAUGAACUAAGUUAGUAAUAAAAUAUUGGCUAAAUUAAUAACUAUUUAUUAAAGUUUAAAAAUUAAAAUUUUAAUUUUUUAAAAUUGUAAAUUUGAGAUUUUAAAAUUUUAAAAUUUAAAAGUAUAUAUUUUAAAUUCUAAAAUAUAAAUAUAAAAUAUAAAAGUUCAAAUUCUAAUAUAAAGAAAGGGAUAAUAUCAUUAUUUUUUAUUUAUAACUACCCACUUUAAUUCUUAUUCCAUCUUAUCUAACCAAACACUACUUUUUUAUUAUCAGAAAUAACCCAAUUUUCUUCCAAACGCAAAAUUGAUCUAAUCCUCGUUUAUACCUCAAUUUAUACCUAUUCCUGGAAUAGCUACUUUUUGCUUAUUCCUGAACCAAACGAUACCUUAGAGAGUUUUGUGGGUUCCCAUGUGUGAUGU